GUCUGUUGCCAUGGGGACCGUGGGAAGGUGAAGUGCUCAGUUCAUCUCAGGGCCUGUGGGGCCGAGAACCGUUGGUCAGUGCCGGGGUGGUUAGUGAGAGGCAGGGCCCGUCUACCGGCCACACCUUCGCGCUGGGCACGUCUCUCCACUCAGGCCACCUGGGGAGCCUCACCUUGCGUGGAAACGUGAUUUGAGUCCUGGCACCCCCGUGGCUAUUAUGUGAUCCUGAAGUCACUGAACAUUCAUCUCAGAAGGAGCCAGGAUUCCUUCUUUCUACAGCCUCACAGUCUCAACUGGCUGCUGGAGCUCCAGCCAUUAUGUCCACCGUCAAAGCAGCAGAAAAGGAGAAAGAGAGGAAGAAGGGCUGAAGCGCCCCGGCCUUUUGUGUCCCCAUAUAGACUUGCCUGCCCCGUUCCGUUCCUCUGGAGUUUCUCCCUGGCCGCCUCGGAUGCCAUCUCUCACUGACCCUCGGGUCCCCUCCCCUUCCGGCUGGGCCACCUCGUCCCGCCCACCCCGGCGAGAAGGGAGACGGGGCCCACAGGACAUCAUCACCCUCGAAGCCACCCUGCCAGGCGCUCAGAUUAUCCGACGGGCUUUUAGGACUGCUUGUUGAUGGUAUGAAUCUGAACAGUGGAGGCCCCCAGAGGGGAGGAAAAUGUGAGUUUUGAAUAUGACUUUUCUACUAAACAAAUGAAAUGGAAUGGAAAUCCAUUGUAAUAAACUCCACAGGGCACGCCUGUUC